AGUGAACGCUGGCGGUAUGCCUAACACAUGCAAGUCGAACGGCAGCACAGUAAGAGCUUGCUCUUACGGGUGGCGAGUGGCGGACGGGUGAGGAAUACAUCGGAAUCUACUUUUUCGUGGGGGAUAACGUAGGGAAACUUACGCUAAUACCGCAUACGACCUACGGGUGAAAGCAGGGGAUCUUCGGACCUUGCGCGAUUGAAUGAGCCGAUGUCGGAUUAGCUAGUUGGCGGGGUAAAGGCCCACCAAGGCGACGAUCCGUAGCUGGUCUGAGAGGAUGAUCAGCCACACUGGAACUGAGACACGGUCCAGACUCCUACGGGACGCAGCAGUGGGGAAUAUUGGACAAUGGGGGGAAGCCUGAUCCAGCCAUACCGCGUGGGUGAAGAAGGCCUUCGGGUUGUAAAGCCCUUUUGUUGGGAAAGAAAAGCAGCAGGUUAAUACCCCGCUGUUCUGACGGUACCCAAAGAAUAAGCACCGGCUAACUUCGUG
rnacentral:rRNA from 1 species